AUUGAACGCUGGCGGCAGGCCUAACACAUGCAAGUCGAACGAGUGGCGGACGGGUGAGUAAUGUCUGGGAAACUGCCUGCUGGAGGGGGAUAACUACUGGAAACGGUAGCUAAUACCGCAUACCAUCUGAUGUGCCCAGAUGGGAUUAGCUAGUAGGUGGGGUAAAGGCGCACCUAGGCGACGAUCCCUAGCUGGUCUGAGAGGAUGACCAGCGAAACUGGAACUGAGACACGGUCCAGACGCCGACGGGAGGGAGCAGUGGGGAAUAUUGCAAAAUGGGCGGAAGCCUGAUGCAGCCAUGCGGGGUGUAUGAAGAAGGCCUUCGGGUUGUAAAGUACUUUCAGCGGGGAGGGGUUACCAGCAGAGGAAGCACCGGCGAACUCCGUGCCAGCAGCCGCGGUAAUU
rnacentral:rRNA from 1 species